rnacentral:tRNA from 1 species
GGGCGAUUAGCUCAGCGGGAGAGCGCUUCCCUGACACGGAAGAGGUCACUGGUUCAAUCCCAGUAUCGCCCACC